UUCAAUUAUUGUUUAUGGUUUCACGGCUUGGGUGGCGCAAAUACGUCACUACCCUCCCCUUAAAGAGAAGCCUAUACUUGGGCUGGAAUUGAUGGAUAUAGUAAAGGUAAUGGAUUCUGUUCUAUUUCUACUUGUUGUGGUAUACUCUGAUUUUGAUCCGGUCUUAAUCUUAAUUGUGCAUACAGCAUCAUGAAUGGAUUGAAUUUUACAUAUCUUAAAUAUAAGUACAACAAAACAAGUGUAAUGAUGACAAUAAUGAUUAGUAUGUAAAGUGUAAUGUUGUUUUGAGAAAUCAUUUCGACAAUGUCGCUGCGUUUUACAAUUUUUAUUUUUGUUAUAUUAAGUGGUGUGUAUAGUGGUGUUAAAUCUAUUUCAGGUUUUAAAAGGUUUUCGCUUAAAAUUAUGCUGUUGAUUUCUACUUUACAUUGAGCUACGCUUAUCAUUUUAUUUCCUUUUAUUUUUAGGUGGCGCCUUUACCCCUAUAGUUAAAAAUUUCUCCUCCAGAGGGCGUCAAUCAGUCCCAUAGAGCGCCAGCAGGUGGCGCUUUUUGCUCCCCCCUUCUGCGCCUGACAAUUACACCACACACACUCAUACAGAAAAGGCAAAAAUCUUAAAGAGGAGCUGCUGUCAAACACCAACCGAUUCGUUGCACUGCCUAUCGAAGAGGACGUUGGUACCAUCGCAGACAUGCUAGCUGACCUUGGAGAAGUCACCGAGCCAGGUAGCUUCGCUUACAAGGCUACCUGAGGAGGUAGCUUAAAAGUUAUGCCGAAAGACAGCUCGACAUAUCGGAAAAUUGUUAAUCACAUGGACAACCACAACAUGGCGUUCAGGACUUUCCAGCUCAAGGAACUUUGCUUUGGUAAUUAAGGGGCCACAGUCAACAACACCAGUUGACUACAUCUCUGAAGAACUAAAGGGGCUUGGACACAUUGUUCGAGACAUCAAGAACGCCAUCUCAAGAACCACAAAGAACCCUAUUGCUAUGUUCUUUGUAAACUUGGAACCUUCAAGCAACAACAAAAAGGUGUUCACAACCGAGGAGCCCAGAAAGUUCAAUGACCUGGUGCAGUGCUACCGCUGCCAGGCUUUCGGGCAUACCAAGAGGUACUGCAGUCUGCAGUACACUUGCGUAAAGUGCGGUCAAGGGCAUGCCUCUAUCGAGUGCACUAAGGCCAAAGACGCUCCUGCUACAUGCGGUAACUGCGGGGAGGCGCACACUGCGUCAUACCAAGGCUGCCGUGUAUAUAUCGAGACCAAGAAGAGUGCUUCCCCCAAGCCAAAAGCGAAGGCAAUGACUCCACCGCCGAGAGAGGCCCAUACACCACCAGCGACAACUAACAACGCCACAUACUCUGGCUUUAGCUACGCUGACGUCCCCAGGGGAGGAUACCCCCAGCAACAGCAACCCAAACACAUCUUCAACCAACAAGGUCUCAUUGACCGGGAGGCAGCGUUGGAGGCGCAUGGAGAACAUGAUGGACUCAAUGUUCUAUCAGUUUAAAGACAUGGUGAUGGCCAUGUUCUCCUGCCAGAGAACCAUGCCAUGAACACACAAAUAGUAACCUGGAAUGCUAACGGCUUGGCGAGGAACAAGCCAGAAGUGGAGCUCUACCUGAAAGCCAAUCAGGCGGAUGUGCUUGGCUGCCAUAUUGUAGUUAUGUGAGGGCCCCAUGUCAGCCUUCGGUCCAGGGUUAGCCCUAGGUAUUUGAGGGUGCUGGUGGUAGGGAUAAUGUCGCCGUCGAGUGUGACCGGGGGCAUUCUCCUCUGCGCAGAGAGAAGGUUGUGUGGGAGGAUUUGUCAGCAUUAACCAUGAUGUUCCAACGUUUCAGCCAUGGAUCCAGUGCAUCCAGUUGCCUCUGGAUGAUGGCUGACGCUCUUUGAGGGUUUGUUGCGGUGGCGAGGAACGCGGUGUCAUCUGCGUAUGUGGCUAUAGUGAGCUUACGGGAAGGUAUGAUAGGAAGGUCUGCUGUAAACAGGGUGUAGAGGAUGGGACCAAGGACGCUGCCUUGAGGUACUCCGGCUCGUAUGGGCCUUGGCGUGCUGGUUGAGGAUCCGUGUGGUUAACGGACGAGAAUACCACAGUGGAACAGUAGAGAUUUUAGGUAGAUCUCGCUCCUCAGCAAGGGGGAGUUGCCCGGCAAGCAAGCACUCGAAUUGCUACCGGGGUGGUUGCUAUGUACAUAGCUAUAGCUUCCAGACCGGGACGUUUUGUCUAGCGUAUCUGGACACAUGCAUCAUAUGCUCACUUGUGGGUGUAUAGGGUGCCGUGGUUGUAAUCCCUUCAGUGUGGAACAUGCCAAGUAAAACAAGUUCGGAGGGAUCCGAUUCAUAUUCUGUCCCUAUCUACUAUCUAGAUAGUAGGGGUUGGAAUAAUUAGCGGGGAAAGAAGACCCUUUUGAGCUUGACUCUAAUCUGGCAGUGUAAGGAGACAUAAGAGGUGUAGAAUAAGUGGGAGAUAUUAGACCUCGGUUUGGUAUCGUCAAUGAAAUACCACUACUCUUAUUGUUUCCUUACUUACUUGAUUAAAUGGAACGUGUAUCAUUUCCUAGCCAUUAUACGGAUAUCUUUAUUAUAUCAUAUGGUAUUGGGUUUUGAUGCAAGCUCCUUGAUAAAAGUAUCACGAAUUUGUUAUAUAAUCACAAACAAAUUCUUUAAUAAAGCGAUGCACAUAUGUAUUUUUGAUUUGAAAAUUUUGUAUAACUCCAAUUACUCAGGUAUGAUCCAAUUCAAGGACAUUGCCAGGUAGGGAGUUUGACUGGGGCGGUACAUCUCUCAAAUAAUAACAAAUAAUCAGUGCGGACAGAAACCACACAUAGAGCAAAAGGGCAAAUGCUGACUUGAUCUCGGUGUUCAAUACAAACAGGGACAGCAAAAGCUAGGCCUAUCGAUCCUUUUGGUUUAAAGAGUUUUUAACAAGAGGUGUCAGAAAAGUUACCAUAGGGAUAACUGGCUUGUGGCGGCCAAGCGUUUAUAGUGAUCAUUGUGAAGCAAAAUUCACCAAGCGUGGGAUUGUUCACCCAUGCAAGGGAACGUGAGCAGGGUUUAGACCGUCGUGAGACAGGUUAGUUUUACACUACUAAUGACAAAACGUUGUUGCUACAGUAUUCCUGCGCAGUACGAGAGGAUCCGCAGGUACGGACCAAUGGCACAAUACUUGUUUGAGCGAACAGUGGUAUGACGCUACGUCCGUUAGAUUAUGCCUGAACGCCUCUAAGUUCGUAUCCGUGCUGGGCUGCAAUAAUAAUUAAUGGGCAAUUUGCAUUGUAUGGCUUCUAAACCAUUUAAAGUUUAUAAUUUACUUUAUAAACGACAAUGGAUGUGAUGCCAAUGUAAUGUAACAUAGUAAAUUGGGAGGAUCUUCGAUGACCUGAUGCCGCGUUAAUUACAUAUAAAAGCAUUAUUU
rnacentral:rRNA from 1 species